rnacentral:misc_RNA from 1 species
GAUGAAGAACGCAGCGAAAUGCGAUAAGUAAUGUGAAUUGCAGAAUUCAGUGAAUCAUCGAAUCUUUGAACGCACCUUGCGCCCUUUGGACAUUCCGAAGGGCAUGCCUGUUUGAGUAUCAUGAACACCUCAACUCUCACGGCUUGUCCGUGAUGAGCUUGGACUUUGGGGGUCUUGCCGGCCUGUGGUCGGCUCCUCUCAAAUGGAUCAGCUUGCCAGUGUUUGGUGGCAUCACAGGUGUGAUAACUAUCUGCGCUUGUGGUUUUCCAUCAGAUAACCUUCAGUGAUAUGGAGGUUCGCUGGAGCUCACAAAUGUCUCUCCUUAGUGAGGACAGCUCUUUGAACGUUUGAUCUCAAAUCAGGUAGGACUACCCGCUGAACCUAAGCAUAUCAAUAAGCGGAGGA